GGCGGGCGUUCCGGUAGCGCGCAUGCGUGGCCACGCCCCCACGCGAGCGUUGCCUGUGGGAAAGCUGCCGAGCCCUUCCAGCUCAGAGCAAAAGCGAGGGUGGCGACGGGACGCAUAGCCGAUUCCAGUUGCUCCUUUGAAAAUUAUUUUUAUUACAGCUUUUCGCGGCUGCUUUAAGUGGCUUGCUGCGCAGUUUGAGCAAGAAUCCAUUUUUUUCCUUUUCAACGUGGAUGGUUGUAGGGCUUGGCCUGGAUCCCACUUUAACGAGAGACAUUCACAGCCGUGUGUUAGUUCUGGAGGUAGAUAGUGGACUCGUCAAGCCCUUUGAAAAGAGGGUUCAUACCACUUCCAGUUCCCACAGUACAAUUCUGGAUGAAAAUGUGUGGGAAAGGAGCAUGCACAGCAGCUUUCUAGACUCCAGUCUUAAAGAAUGUGCGUAACAAUGAGGAGGGAAAUAACUGCUUUUCACUAAAGGAGCAACCCACUCAUGGUGAUGAACUACAUCUUCUGGAAGCUUUGAAAGUGUCUUAGAAAAUAUUAUUCCUAUGAACCUUUACUGUAUUUAAAAAAAAUGAGCUUCACAGAACCAAGCAAUUGAAAACAUCACAAAUAACUUUCACUCCAUCACAAAAAAGAAUGUGGCAGAAAAUAAAAGCAUCAAGUCAGAGCCAACUUGAAUGGCAGUUUAGAGAUGACCUUUCUCCAACCGUAACUUUCCUGAAGAAUAUGGGCUAGGAUCCUACCCUAGGCUGGGACUUGAGGAAAGACUGCUCCAAAAGGCAGGACUUCACUUUUUCUCUCCUUGUUUGGUACUUUGAGGCACUGUGGAAAGAAACCCAGGCUAGCCUUCUUGAGAGAGGGGCCAGAUGUAUAAAGAGCUCCUGGCAUAUUAACGCCCUAUGGAAAGCACAGGGCCUUGGUUCCAGACACAUGAAGAAGAUAAAAAGGUGGUCACCACAGACCUUAGAGCAGUCAGUCAUUGGCUGUAUGCAGCUCUGUGAAGUGGUUCCAGUUGACCAGAGGUGUGUCAAAGGCAAGCUAAGCCCUGCACAAACUCCCAGCUCAAACUGUGCAUGAUAAGUUCACGGUUAUCUGUAGACACUGAGUUUGUGUUGACUGAGAAAAUAUGACACAAGUGUCACUCUAUCCAUGCUAGCUCUGAGCUUUAAAAUGCCUUACAUGUUUGCCUUUUAUUGUGGAGGAGGACACCUGUCAACAGGUUUGGGAUACAUGACUAGAUAAUUUAACUGAGAGAGGUUUAUUCUAAUCAGUUUAGCCCCCACAACGAAGCCACUAGACAAUGGAAUGAAGCUAUUUCAACCCAACUCAUGGCUGAAGACAGUCAUGUGAGCGACUCCAACCAGUAACUCAUAGAAGGCCAUAAAAUAGAGAGAAAUUAAUGAUUUUUUACACCGUUAAAUGUAUUAUGUAGUAUAAAGUAAGUGUUGAGCGGUUUCCACACAGAGACGUCAACUUUCACUCUGGAGUUCGCUUUAGCUUUGCUGACAGUGAAGUCCUGUUGCUGCUGUCUCUAUUUUCAUUUCAGUUUUGAAGAUUUAUAUCGGGCUGGCGGAUGUUUUUCUCUUUCAGCUCUUUAAACAUUCCCUUUGACUUUUAGUCUCAUUUCGGAUAAGAUUAAACUUUAACUGUUUUUACUGA